UACGGAGGGUGCAAGCGUUGUCCGGAAUCACUGGGUGUAAAGGGUGUGCAGGCGGACUGGCAAGUCAGUGGUGAAAGCCCGCAGCUCAACUGCGGAAGUGCCAUUGAAACUGCUAGUCUUGAGUCCCGGAGGGGUCAUCGGAAUUCGUGGUGUAGCGGUGAAAUGCGUAGAUAUCACGAGGAACACCAGAAGCGUAAGCGGAUGACCGGACGGUGACUGACGCUCAGGCACGAAAGCGUGGGGAGCAAACAGG
rnacentral:misc_RNA from 1 species